rnacentral:rRNA from 1 species
AUGAACGCUGGCGGCGUGCCUAAUCCAUGCAAGUCGAGCGAACAGACGAGGAGCUUGCUCCUCUGACGUUAGCGGCGGACGGGUGAGUAACACGUGGAUAACCUACCUAUAAGACUGGGAUAACUUUGGGAAACCGGAGCUAAUACCGGAUAAUAUAUUUAACCGCAUGGUUCAAUAGUGAAAGACGGUUUUGCUGUCACUUAUAGAUGGAUCCGCGCCGCAUUAGCUAGUUGGUAAGGUAACGGCUUACCAAGGCGACGAUGCGUAGCCGACCUGAGAGGGUGAUCGGCCACACUGGAACUGAGACACGGUCCAGACUCCUACGGGAGGCAGCAGUAGGGAAUCUUCCGCAAUGGGCGAAAGCCUGACGGAGCAACGCCGCGUGAGUGAUGAAGGUCUUCGGAUCGUAAAACUCUGUUAUUAGGGAAGAACAAAUGUGUAAGUAACUAUGCACGUCUUGACGGUACCUAAUCAGAAAGCCACGGCUAACUACGUG